GGGCUCGGCUCGGCUUGCGGGCGGGCGGCCGCAACUGGCCCGUUGUGGCCUGGCUCGGUCGGCCCAGGCGGCCCAGACGGCCUGGCUAAAGGGAGUGGGGAGGGCGGUUAGGGUUCCACCCGAACCGACGCCUCCCCUGCAGACCACCGCCGCCUGCCUCUUGGCCCGAGCCGCCCCUUCAGUGUGCCGCCGCCGCCCCUUGGCCUGAUGGCCGCCGGCCCUUGAAUCGACGGCGAGCGUCCUCCGCCAAGCCAUGGAGCACCGCUGCCGGCGCGGCCUCCUAUGCGCGCCGUCGCCUGUGAUGUGCGCCGCUGUGAAGAGCCGCCGCCGGCGCCCCUUCUCUUCUCCUCCCCCACGUGCGCCGGCCCUGAUUCAAUGCCCGGAGGGGAUCUCCGAUCCAUGUGCGCGCCGUAGCGAGGGCUGUCGCCCUGAUGCGCCGCCGCCGCCGGUUUGCUGCGUCGCGCAGGGCUUCAUUCUGCUUGGCUAGCCGCUGGCGGGGGCGUCGCGAGGGCCACGACAACGAGCGCCGGGCCAAGGACGCCGCGCGGGGAUGGCCUCCAGCCCUCCGCCCAUGAGCGCGGGGGCAGGCCGAAGCAGGCCGCCGCGUCGUUCAUUGCCGAAUGGAGAUGCUCUGCUUCCAUCGUUUUCCUUUCCAAGUCUGAAUUAAACGAGGAGAUAUACGAAUUCAUGGCUGUGCGGCCUGCAGGCUUGACCAAGAACUGCAGUCCAUGUGUUUGCAGAGGAGGCAGCGCUGUCGGUGAUCUCGUCUCCGGCGAGUCCGCGCGCCUUCAAGAGCAAGGGCGGCAAUUAUCAGGCGAACUUCUCCAGUUCUCCUCCGGAGCGAUGGAUGAGAAGGCUUAGCGAGACCAGCGAACUCUGGCAAAUCCUCCGGCAUCCUUCCUUCGCCUAUUCGCUUCAGCGGUGUGCAGAGCGAUGCGUGGCUGAUAACGUGUUCGAAUUAGUGUUAGAAUUAGAGUAGAAUGGAAUGAUUGAUUGUAUUGAUUGAUGGUUUAGACAUUUUUUAUAUAUGUAUAAAAGGGCAAAGGUGUCUAUUCUCGAAGCGACGUGCCCUUUCAUGAA